rnacentral:rRNA from 1 species
AUUGAACGCUGGCGGCAUGCCUUACACAUGCAAGUCGAACGGCAGCACGGGAGCAAUCCCGGUGGCGAGUGGCGAACGGGUGAGUAAAGUAUCGGAACGUGCCCAGCCGUGGGGGAUAACGUAGCGAAAGCUACGCUAAUACCGCAUACGAUCUAUGGAUGAAAGCGGGGGAUCGCAAGACCUCGCGCGGUUGGAGCGGCCGAUAUGAGCUUAGGUAGGUGGUGGGGUAAAGGCUCACCAAGCCGACGAUCUGUAGCUGGUCUGAGAGGACGACCAGCCACACUGGGACUGAGACACGGCCCAGACUCCUACGGGAGGCAGCAGUGGGGAAUUUUGGACAAUGGGCGAAAGCCUGAUCCAGCCAUGCCGCGUGCAGGAUGAAGGCCUUCGGGUUGUAAACUGCUUUUGUACGGAACGAAAAGGUUUGGGCUAAUAAGCUGAGCUCAUGACGGUACCGUAAGAAUAAGCACCGGCUAACUACGUGCCAGCAGCCGCAGUAA